AGUUGUGGUUUCAACGUUGAAACAACGUUGAUUCAACGUUUAAAGAUGAACUGUUGAAAAACUUACAGCACAUGACCAACUUUCAACAUUGAAAUAUGGUUGAAAUAAGGUCAGUUGUUUUAAUGAAACAACGUUAAAAAUGUUUAAUGCUAAAUGGUAGAAAAAGGUUAACAAGCUUUUAAAUUAUUUAUAUUAAAUUAUUUAAAUUAAUUAUUAUUUUAAUAGCAUUUAAAAAUAUUUUAGUCAUGAUACCUAUUCUAAAAUCUAAAGGUAUAUGUUAAAUAUUAUCAUCAUUAACAACAAUAAAACUAUACAUUUCGCUGCUUUAUCACACUGAAACAACUCCCAUUGGUAGUUUUAUUUUAUUACUUCUAUCAUGAUUGGUUAAUCUGGCUGUCAUUCAGGAAACUGGACAAUGAAUCGGUUCGCGCUUUUCUACAUUUAAAAAUAUGACCGUUAUUGUCGUCUUUCUGUGAGUGAGGCGGCUAACUGUGAGCUGCUGCUCGUUAUAACUGACUGCUCGGUCGGUCCCGAAUUAUUUCAUAUUUGCCUGUACAUUUUUUAUUUAUUUUGAGCGAAUUUGAGUCGUGACAUGUCAAUGGAGAACAAAAACUGUGAACACAAGAAGGGUCAUGUGUUCUGCGAGGUCCUGAAAACAUCCUGUCAAAAUGAGAGUCAUCGAGGAUCCAGUUUAUUCUUGAAACAUUGGACGGUACAGAAAGUGCACAAGUGGGAGAGAGUGAAGAGGACGGCGUCAGAAAGGACCUAGCGCUGGGACACUUUCAAGGAUCACCCGAAGCACAACCACACUGUAUACACGAGGCUGUUGUUUCUAACAUUUUAGAGUGCCCUGCGAUAGAAAUCUCAUUCUGCAUUCCCCACGGUAAAGAAGACACAGUCCGGGGGGUUCCCAUUAGAAAUCAACUGGUGGAAGGUUCCCUUCUCGAACUGUUCAACACAUUUUCACUGCACAAAUGUACACAACUCUUGUAAUGAGACACAUUACUAAAACAUGUUUUUGACAGAAACUGUAGGUUUCCACCAAAAUAAAAGAUCCACUGGUUUCAGUCAUAAAGGUACAAGGGUUUGUCUUGUAAGUGCUGAAAAAAAUAUGCAUUUUUGUGCCGAAUUAUUUUACAAAAACCUUUAAAUAUUAUGGUAUUUGGAUUGUUCUACUACAUGUUUUUAGCAUUACCUCCAUGCAUACUCUGCAUAAUAAAGUGUGGGAUUAUUUUCAUCUGUUUUAUACAGUAUGUUUCCAAAAUUAAACUGCUGUUUGACAAUUUUGA